GGGAGUGUAGCUCAGUGGUAUAGCACUUUCCCACCAUGAAUGAGGCCCUGGGUUUCAUCCCAGCACUGCAA
rnacentral:tRNA from 1 species